rnacentral:rRNA from 1 species
GACGAACGCUGGCGGCGUGCUUAACACAUGCAAGUCGAGCGGUAAGGCCCUUUCGGGGGGUACACGAGCGGCGAACGGGUGAGUAACACGUGGGUGACCUGCCCUUAGCUCUGGGAUAAGCCUGGGAAACUGGGUCUAAUACCGGAUAUGACUCCAUGACGCAUGUUGUGGGGUGGAAAGCCUUGUGCGGCUAGGGAUGGGCCUGCGGCCUAUCAGCUUGUUGGUGGGGUGANGGCCUACCAAGGCGACGACGGGUAGCCGGCCUGAGAGGGCGACCGGCCACACUGGGACUGAGACACGGCCCAGACUCCUACGGGAGGCAGCAGUGGGGAAUCUUGUCGCAAUGGGCGAAAGACCUGACGCAGCGACGCCGCGU